GCCUGGCUAGCUCAAUCGGUACAGCAUGAGACUCUUAAUCUCAGGGUUGUGGGUGCGAGCCCCACGUUAGACA